ACUCCUACGGGAGGCAGCAGUAAGGAAUAUUGGUCAAUGGACGCAAGUCUGAACCAGCCAUGCCGCGUGGAGGAUGAAGGUCCUCUGGAUUGUAAACUUCUUUUAUCUGGGAAGAAAUGCAUUUUUUCUAGAAUGCUUGACGGUACCAGGUGAAUAAGCACCGGCUAACUCCGUGCCAGCAGCCGCGGUAAUACGGAGGGUGCAAGCGUUAUCCGGAUUCACUGGGUUUAAAGGGUGCGUAGGUGGGUUGGUAAGUCAGUGGUGAAAUCUCCAGGCUUAACUUGGAAACUGCCAUUGAUACUAUUAAUCUUGAAUACCGUGGAGGUCAGCGGAAUAUGUCAUGUAGCGGUGAAAUGCUUAGAUAUGACAUAGAACACCAAUUGCGAAGGCAGCUGGCUACACGAAUAUUGACACUGAUGCACGAAAGCGUGGGGAUCAAACAGGAUUAGAUACCCUGGUAGUCCACGCCCUAAACGAUGGAUACUCGACAUACGCGAUAUACUGUGUGUGUCUGAGCGAAAGCAUUAAGUAUCCCACCUGGGAAGUACGAUCGCAAGAUUGAAACUCAAAGGAAUUGACGG
rnacentral:rRNA from 1 species